rnacentral:rRNA from 1 species
GAGAGUUUGAUCUGGCUCAGAUUGAACGCUGCGGUAUGCUUAACACAUGCAAGUCGAACGGCAGCACGAGGAAAGUUUACUUUCUUCGGUGGCGAGUGGCGGACGGGUGAGUAAUACAUAGGAAUCUACCUUUUAGUCUAGGAUAACUACCCGAAAGGGUGGCUAAUACUGGAUGUGGACUACGGUUUAAAGCAGGGGACCUUCGGGCCUUGCGCUAAGAGAUGAGCCUAUGUGGGAUUAGCUAGUUGGUGAGGUAAUGGCUCACCAAGGCGACGAUCUCUAGCUGGUUUGAGAGGAUGAUCAGCCACACUGGGACUGAGACACGGCCCAGACUCCUACGGGAGGCAGCAGUGGGGAAUAUUGGACAAUGGGCGAAAGCCUGAUCCAGCAAUACCGCGUGUGUGAAGAAGGCCCUAGGGUUGUAAAGCACUUUUGUUAGGGAGAACGGGUAUUACGGUUAAUAACCAUAGUAUCUGAUGUUACCUAAAGAAUAAGCACCGGCUAACUCCGUG